UAGGGAAUCUUCGGCAAUGGACGAAAGUCUGACCGAGCAACGCCGCGUGAGUGAAGAAGGUUUCGGAUCGUAAACUCUGUUGGUAGAGAAGAACGUUGGUGAGAGUGGAAAGCUCAUCAAGUGACGGUAACUACCCAGAAAGGGACGGCUAACUACGUGCCG
rnacentral:rRNA from 1 species